AUGCUUUUUACUGAUGUUUUUUUCUCCUUACUGGAGGUGUGUAUGUUCCAAAGCCAAGCCCUGAAGGCCUCUUUCUGUCCAAACUCCCCAAGAGUGUUUAAGCAGGGACUUUGUGGCUCGACUGGCAUACCCACUCAACCCCCAGCUCAAGUCCAUGAUCAUAAAAACAUCAAGGUUCUGGGAUGCACAAAACAUCAAGAUGAAAGAAAGUUUUUUCUUGUGUCUCUUGCUCUUGGAAAAGGUACUAGCUCAACUAGUGCUGCCUUCUCUUUGUGUGUAGCUCUGUAUAUUGGCCUGUCCCACCUUGGUAUCUCUGCACAAGGGCUCAAAAAUAAAUAAAAGAAGAUCAGUGACACAUGCAGACUGAAACAGAAAACUAGUGCCGUGAUCCUUGUUCCAUGUUGCAUGUCUCCACUGUCUUAGAAGAAGGAUAUUAUGAAAACACCUUUUGAGACCUCAGUGGAGGGAUACCACUUAGAAUAUUUCAUGAAAACAAUACCACUUAGAAUAUUUCAUGAAAACAUUUCUUCACAGCAUGCAAAGGCAGCUGUUUGGUUCUGCUGAUACAAGCAGCGCCUGAUUGAAAUGGAGCAAGCAAAGAUGCUCCCUCCACUGACUCAGGAAGUGCUUUAUACCUGUCCUGUUUCUAAUGAUAAUAAUAAUAUCUGUUCUCUGCUUGUUACAAGGUAGUUUUAAGAAGACCUGCAUUGUAAAUUCCUUUAUGCUGCAAGAAUUAAUCACUGAGAUCAGACAGAGAAGUCUGAGUUUGAUCUUAGUAUUGGUCCUCACUACCAUUGCUGACAUGAUGAAGAUGUAUAUACAAAUUGUACACUGAGUUAAGAUAAGCGAUGUGCUUGCUGAAUAUGACUUGAUUGUCUUCUGUGGGGAUUUAAAACUAAACUUUGCCUGCUGGGAAAAAAGAAGGUCUUCCACCAGGUCUUAGAAAACCCCAAAGUGUUGGCAGCUCUGUGGUAGCUGCCAGUUCCUGGGCUGGUCUCAUUUUACUACAGGCACAAGGAUUCUCAUUUCUUCCUCAGUAUUAAUUAGUCCACAUGAAAAGACAUUCUGAGGGACAAGGCUGAUGCUGUCCCAGUGGGCUGCAGAGACACAUUGGUGCUUUCUAGCCUGGGAAUCUGCCCUUACAUUUGUCAAAACUCUGAUGGGAUCCUACGGAUUAAUAAUUCCAGAUGGCAAUGCUCUGAUACUGAGUAGAAACCAGCCGUUUCAAUCCAAAAACCAUCAGUCAUCCUAAGUGCACAGAUCUACUUCACAUGUUUUGUCAGUCUUCAAAGCAUUUCAAAGAAUCUUGAACAAUUUCUUUGUUUGUAAGACAUUUUGA
rnacentral:lncRNA from 1 species